rnacentral:rRNA from 1 species
GACGAACGCUGGCGGCGUGCUUAACACAUGCAAGUCGAACGGAAAGGCCCUGCUUUUGCGGGGUGCUCGUGUGGCGAACGGGUGAGUAACACGUGAGUAACCUCCACUUGACUUUGGGAUAAAUUCAGGAAACUGGGGCUAAUACAGGAUAGGAGCUCCUGCUCCAUGGUGGGGGUUGGUAAGUUUCGGCGGUUGGGGCUGGACUCGCGGCUUAUCAGCCUGUUGGUGGGGUAGUGGCUUACCAAGGCUUUGACGGGUAGCCGGCCUGAGAGGGUGACCGGCCACAUUGGGACUGGGAUACGGCCCAGACUCCUACGGGAGGCAGCAGUGGGGAAUAUUGCACAAUGGGCGGAAGCCUGAUGCAGCAACGCCGCGUGCGGGAUGACGGCCUUCGGGUUGUAAACCGCUUUCGCCUGUGACGAAGCGUGAGUGACGGAAAUGGGUAAAGAAGCACCGGCUAACUACGU